rnacentral:lncRNA from 1 species
UAGUCACAAGCUAAGCCGCAGCUGCGGCAAUGCUGGAUCCUUAACCCACUGCACAGGGAAACCUGAGACCCAGUGCUCUCAAGAUGCUGCCGAUCGUGGUGCACCACAGCAGGAACUCCAAUUUAGGGAAAUUUUAUUAUCAGGGAAUCAGAGAACAAAGAUGCCAAGUACUUCAAGAGCUCUGGCUCAGACUUGAAACAAAUAUUUGGAAACCGCAUGAUCUUAUAAAGCAAGUUGCACAAUGUACUCCUUCCCUAUCCUAGGGUUAGAUAUGGAUCCCUGGAAGGGAAAGUAAGAGAAGAGAGUGAUAGUGACUACAGUGUAGACUGGCUCCCAGCCUGGCCCAGACUGAGGAGUAAGAAGUAGAAACAGAACACCCAUAAAGAGGUAAGGGCAGAAUUCAGGAGAGAUGAUUAAGCCAUAGCAACAAAAAUGAAAAAGGACAGAAGGAUGAACUUGGGAGCUUGUAAGAUUUUUUAGGUGGGAUUUGUAAGUUCUGGGUAGAGUCGAGAGUGACUGAAAUAUUUGGAGUGGGGCUGUAGAUUAACUGGAUUUCGUAAUGAUGGAUUUUAACAGAAAUGUAUUGUCUCACAUUUCUGGAGGUUGAAUGCCUGAGAUGAAAGUGUCAUCUGGGUUGGCUCCUUCUGAGGACAAAGAGGGAAGGAUGUGUUUCACGCUGCUCUCUUAGCUUCUAGUCCUUUGCUGGUGAUAUUUGGCAUUCCUUGGCUUAUGGGUGCACCACCCUAAACUCUGUGUUCAUAUGGCAUUCUCCCUGUUCUCUUCUUAUGCUCUUCCCUCUUCUUAUGUCUGUCUCCAAAUUUCCCCUUUUUAUAGUGACAUCAUUUUAAAUAAAUUUAAAUCUGUAAUAACCCUACCUCCAAAUAAGAUUACAUGCUAAGAUACUUGUGGUUAAAACUUAGACAUACAAAUUUGGGGGAGGGGCCACAAUUCGACUCAUAACAUGGGUCAACUAUGAAAAUGCUGCAGGAAGAUCAAGAAUAAUGAAGAAUGCAAAUAAACUACUGGGUUUGGCAAUUAGGAGGUUACAGAGAUUUGGCAAGAACAAUCUCAGUAGCAUGACACUGGUAGACAUAGAUUAUAAAGAAGUUGACCGACGUGGGAAAUGUGCUUGGCAGAGGACAUGGAGGGAACAUGCAAAGACAAUGUUCUAUAUAUUUCUCUCUUUUUUUUUUUUUUUUUUUUUUUUUUGUCUUUUGUCUUAUUAGACAUGGCAUGUGGAGGUUCCCAGGCUAGGGGUCCAAUCAGAGCUACAGCUGCUGGCCUACACCACAGCCACAGCAACAUCAGAUCCGAGCCACAUCUGCAAACUUCGCCAAGGCCCAUGGCAACACCAGUCCUUAACACACUUGAGCAAGGCCAGAGAUUGAAACUGCAACCUCAUGGUUCCUAGUCAGAUUCGUUUCCGCUGUGCCACGACAGGAACUACAUAUAUUUCAGGUGAUAUUCAUGUGAUAGGAAAUGUACAUGGAGGCAGAUCCCACUGCAGCCCUUCCCAAAAACCCAAUGGUAUAAACAGAAAUUUUAUAGUUGGGUUGUAUUACUUCCUAUGUGUUAAGCCAAACCUUUAGAAAUUGUGAUUUAAAGUUAGCAACUGGUUUUAGGUAGACAUCUGUGUAACAUGUGGUGGUGUUGCCAUAGUGAUUGUGACUCUAAGAAAUUCAGGGUAGGGUGUUUACACUAUAGAUUCAAAUGUGUUCAAAAUGAAGACAUAAUUUUAGCUACUAAGGACCUUUCCAUGCAUCCCUCUUGAAUGUUAAUAUUAUUCAAAUGAGUAAUAGAACACUUCAGACACUUGCGCUCCAAGAAAAUGAAACGUGUUUCAUCCUCUGUCUGGAGAUACUCUUCUAAAAUGCAAGAGUUCAAAAAAACUGAAAAUUCAAAUAGAGUUUAUGAGCUGUACAGCAGGAAGGAGUAGGGUUUAGAAGGCUGAUUUCAGUGCCUGCUGAGUUUUCAUUUCUCUUCACUAGGGCCAGUUGCUGCGUUUCAGAAACAGAGAAGCUUUGAAAGCUAAGAUGUGUGAUCAAGAACAUGGAAUUGGUUUCCUAUGUAUGUUGAAAACCCCAAUUUGAAAGAAAUGCUUUAUUCCUUUUCAAGCUUCCCUACUGUUUUGGUGAAUUCCUUUCUUAUAUGAUCCCAUAGGACUGAAUUUUGUGCUCCCGCCUUCAGGCUGGAAAGAGUUUAGUCCUGCGUGCUAAAGACUGAUUCUCCCAAAGUGUGGCCACUUGGCUGCCAGCCCUUUGAAGUUCCUGCUACAGCCAAGUUUCCUGCUGCUGGGGAUUUUCCACUUCCUUCUGUUUCUUUUUCUUUUUCUUUUUUUUUUUUUUUUUUUUUUUUUUUGUCUUUUUUUUGUUGUUGUUGUUGUUGCUAUUUCUUGGGCCGCUCAAGCGGCAUAUGGAGGUUCCCAGGCUAGGGGUUGAAUCGGAGCUGUAGCCACCGGCCCACGCCAGAGCCACAGCAACUCAGGAUCCAAGCCGCGUCUGCAACCUACACCACAGCUCACGGCAACGCCGGAUCGUUAACCCACUGAGCAAGGGCAGGGACCGAACCUGCAACCUCAUAGUUCCUAGACGGAUUCGUUAACCACUGCACCACCACGGGAACUCCCCACUUCCUUCUGUUUCUACUCCACCACUGGUCUGCCCCUUCACACAGUGGAAGCCAACAAGGAGUGUGCUGGAACCUCACCGUGAAUCCUAUCCCCCACAAAGAGCCUACUUUCCACAUUCCACAGACCUUCUCUGCUGGAGAAUCUAGAAAAUCAGUCUUGGAAUCUUGUUAAAUCCCCCCUGAUGGGACCCAACAAAUCCACAAAAUGGAGCAUAGAUAGUCACAAUGCAUGGGCUUUUGCUUAAAAUUAUUUUAGGAAGUUUAUUGCAUUUGAUGAGAUACGUGGCUCAAAAAGAAACCAUGUCCUAGAAACAUCCAUAACUGUUUAUUAAAAUGGUCGGCCCCUCUACUGAUUGAUGAUUUGGGGGAGGUGCAUACAGCUGUGAAAUCAUAACAGCUUGUACACUUUAAACAAGGGCAGCUUGGGAGUUCCCUGGUGGGAGGGAUUCAGCACUCUUACCAUGGCAAUCCCAGAUUCAAUCCCUGGUCUGGGAAGGGGGAUGUCACGUCAGGCUGCUGAGGGCCUGGCCAAAAAAAUGUACCCCCUCUUUUUAUCAGCUAUUCCUCAAUAAGGUUGUGGAGGAAAUGCGUGUGCUCCUGAGCAAGUUUAUCUUUUAGUCUCUCACUGACAGUGUGGUAUCUUGGAAUUUGGCCAGUGACCUUCACAUGCUCAUUUAUUCACCAUGGGGUAAGGCUGGACAUGGACUUGUCCCCUAGGGCGGGACAGGUGUUGGGAUAGGUGAGCGCUUCACCAUGCAAACAAAGUGGCUGCAAAAGCAUGAACAAAUAACCCAGUGACUUCAGGCUCAGCAAAUGGAACACUGAAAUGAUGUCCUAAUACUCUAAGUUGCCAUUCCUCGGAUACUCGCCCAAGGAGACCCGUCUGUAACAGUGGUACAUGAGCACAGGGCGGGAGCACAUUGCCAUGACCCCCAGAAACAUAGUUUUUCAAGGCUCUACUUCAAUUUAAUUUUAUGAAUCUUGACUCCUAGAAAGCUCUUCAUGGUGCCAGGCUUUUAUGCUACCAAUCUUCCCCUCUGAUCUGCAGACCUGACAUCACCAGUCCCCAGUGCUGGGUGACCUGCUUUGGGUCUGGACACAUAGCCCCUUUCCUUCAGUUCUCCCACCCCAAUGACUGCCCACCACGGAAACAUUACAUGAGCCUUAGAUAGAGUCAGGACCCAGGGAAGGGGGAUUCUGGGAUCUAAUUUGUAGGGAGCUGCAAGUACUAGAACCAAGUACACUGAAAAAGGUGGAUUCUGGGGUUUUUCCCUCCUGUCCUUGAAAGCCAGGUUGGUUCCACACGGAGAAGCUACAGAGGUAUUUUUUCAGUCAGAUCCUACUGAGAGAGAAUUGCAGAGCAGCAGGCAGAUGAUAGGCCUGUGAAUGUCCAGGGGAGAAUGUGUGUAGGGGAAAGGGUGGAAGAGGGAGGUAUAAAAACAGGGAAUAAGAGAGCAAAUGAGAUGGAGGAAAGAAGGGAUGAGAGCCCCCAGUUGCUGGAGACCAUGAUGCCAUCUGUCCUUUAUUAAAUUGUGUCAAGGUCUAGGGUCUGGUCAGAAAUGCCUUCUGAGUUUAUUAAUCAUACUCACCUUUGGACUGAGUUUAACAUUGUAAACAACAAGGAUCAAUGACCUCAUUUCCUGGAGCAAUGGGGGUGGCUUGAGANUGAGAGAGAAAAAAGAAAAAGGGAAAAGGAGACUUGAGAAAAGGAGAGAGGAAAAUGAAGUCUAAAAGUAGUUAUUUCGGAGUUCCUGUAGUGGCGCAGUGGUUAACGAAUCCGACUAGGAACCAUGAGGUUGCGGGUUCCA